rnacentral:lncRNA from 1 species
GUAAAAUCGGUAGCCUGUACGGCAUCAACCGGCCAUUCAACACGAUUUCGGAAGCAUUGAUCGGAGCUACAACAAUCGGCGAUGAAGAUCUACUGCAUUAGUUUCAUCGUUUUGAUGAACCAUCGGCCUCUGAAUAAGUUGAGAUGGGGAUGACUUUAGCAGCGUGGUUUGGUCUUUUUGGUUUGAAUAUAUUGGGUUUGUAGCCUUUUCGAUAUGAAAUGGUAUAUUGGAGUGCUCUUGGAUGUUGUUGGAAACGUUUGUUGAAUAGGAUGACAUAUCUAUAAGAGAAAGUUGAUAAGGUUAUCGUUUAAUAUGGGCUUAUUAGAUUGUAACAUUAUCUACUAUCCCCUUAUAGAUAUGUUUUCUUAUUUAGUGUACGUUUUCGACAACACCCAGAAACACUCAGAUUUACCAUCUCAUAUGUUCAUUUAAGUUGUUUCUUAUCUACUCAAAUGUACAAGAAAUCAAGUGAAAAAGUGUACUUAUGCUGGUGGUUUCUAAUUAUAAUUUAUUCUUCCAU